AAGAAUAAGUGGUGGGCAAGACUGGUGCCAGCAGCCGCGGUAAUACCAGCGCCACUAGUGGAGAUCAUGUUUACUGGGUCUAAAGUGUUCGUAGCUUGGUUAGUGUGUCUCUUGUGAAAGUUCUCUAGCUUAACUGAGAAUUUGCAAGCGAAACUGCUAAUCUUGAGACCGGGCGAGGUACAAGGUAUUGUAUGGGUAGCGGUAAAAUGCUAUAAUCCUUACAGGACCAACUAUUGCGAAGGCAUUGUACUGGAACGGAUCUGACAGUGAGGAACGAGAGCUGGGGGAUCAAACCGGAUUAGAUACCCCCGUAGUCC
rnacentral:rRNA from 1 species